rnacentral:rRNA from 1 species
UGCUGUGAGGCAUGCUGGAGGUAUCAGAAGUGCGAAUGCUGACAUAAGUAACGAUAAAGCGGGUGAAAAGCCCGCUCGCCGGAAGACCAAGGGUUCCUGUCCAACGUUAAUCGGGGCAGGGUGAGUCGACCCCUAAGGCGAGGCCGAAAGGCGUAGUCGAUGGGAAACAGGUUAAUAUUCCUGUACUUGGUGUUACUGCGAAGGGGGGACGGAGAAGGCUAUGUUGGCCGGGCGACGGUUGUCCCGGUUUAAGCGUGUAGGCUGGUUUUCCAGGCAAAUCCGGAAAAUCAAGGCUGAGGCGUGAUGACGAGGCACUACGGUGCUGAAGCAACAAAUGCCCUGCUUCCAGGAAAAGCCUCUAAGCAUCAGGUAACAUCAAAUCGUACCCCAAACCGACACAGGUGGUCAGGUAGAGAAUACCAAGGCGCUUGAGAGAACUCGGGUGAAGGAACUAGGCAAAAUGGUGCCGUAACUUCGGGAGAAGGCACGCUGAUAUGUAGGUGAAGUCCCUUGCGGAUGGAGCUGAAAUCAGUCGAAGAUACCAGCUGGCUGCAACUGUUUAUUAAAAACACAGCACUGUGCAAACACGAAAGUGGACGUAUACGGUGUGACGCCUGCCCGGUGCCGGAAGGUUAAUUGAUGGGGUCAGCGCAAGCGAAGCUCUUGAUCGAAGCCCCGGUAAACGGCGGCCGUAACUAUAACGGUCCUAAGGUAGCGAAAUUCCUUGUCGGGUAAGUUCCGACCUGCACGAAUGGCGUAAUGAUGGCCAGGCUGUCUCCACCCGAGACUCAGUGAAAUUGAACUCGCUGUGAAGAUGCAGUGUACCCGCGGCAAGACGGAAAGACCCCGUGAACCUUUACUAUAGCUUGACACUGAACAUUGAGCCUUGAUGUGUAGGAUAGGUGGGAGGCUUUGAAGUGUGGACGCCAGUCUGCAUGGAGCCGGCCUUGAAAUACCACCCUUUAAUGUUUGAUGUUCUAACGUGGACCCGUGAUCCGGGUUGCGGACAGUGUCUGGUGGGUAGUUUGACUGGGGCGGUCUCCUCCUAAAGAGUAACGGAGGAGCACGAAGGUUGGCUAAUCCUGGUCGGACAUCAGGAGGUUAGUGCAAUGGCAUAAGCCAGCUUGACUGCGAGCGUGACGGCGCGAGCAGGUGCGAAAGCAGGUCAUAGUGAUCCGGUGGUUCUGAAUGGAAGGGCCAUCGCUCAACGGAUAAAAGGUACUCCGGGGAUAACAGGCUGAUACCGCCCAAGAGUUCAUAUCGACGGCGGUGUUUGGCACCUCGAUGUCGGCUCAUCACAUCCUGGGGCUGAAGUAGGUCCCAAGGGUAUGGCUGUUCGCCAUUUAAAGUGGUACGCGAGCUGGGUUUAGAACGUCGUGAGACAGUUCGGUCCCUAUCUGCCGUGGGCGCUGGAGAACUGAGGGGGGCUGCUCCUAGUACGAGAGGACCGGAGUGGACGCAUCACUGGUGUUCGGGUUGUCAUGCCAAUGGCACUGCCCGGUAGCUAAAUGCGGAAGAGAUAAGUGCUGAAAGCAUCUAAGCACGAAACUUGCCCCGAGAUGAGUUCUCCCUGACCCUUUAAGGGUCCUGAAGGAACGUUGAAGACGACGACGUUGAUAGGCCGGGUGUGUAAGCGCAGCGAUGCGUUGAGCUAACCGGUACUAAUGAACCGUGAG